GUGCUCGCUUCGGCAGCACAUAUACUAAAUUGGAACGAUACAGAGAAGAUUAGCAUGGCCCCUGUGCAAGGAUGACACACAAAUUCGUGAAGCGUUCCAUAUUUUU
rnacentral:snRNA from 1 species